rnacentral:rRNA from 1 species
CAGCAGCCGCGGUAAUACGUAGGUGGCAAGCGCUGUCCGGAAUUAUUGGGCGUAAAGGGCUCGCAGGCGGUUUCUUAAGUCUGAUGUGAAAGCCCCCGGCUUAACCGGGGAGGGUCAUUGGAAACUGGGAGACUUAGAGUGCAGAAGAGGAGAGUGGAAUUCCAUGUGUAGCGGUGAAAUGCGUAGAUAUAUGGAGGAACACCAGUGGCGAAGGCGACUCUCUGGUCUGUAACUGACGCUGAGGCGCGAAAGCGUGGGGAGCAAACAGGAUUAGAUACCCCUGUAGUCCCUGUCUCUUAUA